UCCCAGGGAAGAAGCAGUCACACCUUACUCUCCAUCCUGGUCCCAGAGCCUGCAAAGGAGAUCUCACAGGUGCUGCCUGGAGGAAGGAAAUUCUGCUCCAGGAUGGCUCUGAGUGUU